GAUGAACGCUGGCGGCGUGCCUAAUACAUGCAAGUCGAGCGAACGGACGAUAAUCUUUCUUCUCUGAUGUUAGCGGCGGACGGGUGAGUAACACGUGGCUAACCUACCUAUAAGACUGGGAUAACUUCGGGAAACCGGAUCUAAUACCGUAUAAUAUUUUGAACCGCAUGGUUCAUUAGUGCAAUACGGUCUUUCUGUCUCUUAUAGAUUGUUCCUCGCUGCAUUAGCUAGUUGGUAAGGUAACGGCUUACCAAGGCAACGAUGAAUAUCCGACCUGAGAGGGUGAGCGGCCACACUGGAACUGAGACACGGAAAAGACUACUACGGGAGGCAGCAGUAGGGAAUAGUACGAAAUGGGCGAAAGCAUGAAGGAGCAAAGCCGCGUGAGAGAAGAAGGACUUAGGAUCGUAAAACUCUGUUAGUAGGGAAGAACAUAUGUGUAAGUAACUGUGCACAGCUUGACGGUAACAAAAAAGAAAGCAACGGCUAACUACGUG
rnacentral:rRNA from 1 species